UACGAAGGGGGCUAGCGUUGCUCGGAAUCACUGGGCGUAAAGCGCAACGUAGGCGGCUUUUUAAGUCAGGGGUGAAAUCCUGGAGCUCAACUCCAGAACUGCCUUUGAUACUGAGAAGCUUGAGUCCGGGAGAGGUGAGUGGAACUGCGAGUGUAGAGGUGAAAUUCGUAGAUAUUCGCAAGAACACCAGUGGCGAAGGCGGCUCACUGGCCCGGUACUGACGCUGAGGUGCGAAAGCGUGGGGAGCAAACAGG
rnacentral:rRNA from 1 species